ACAGCAGCCGCCGCGGUAAUACGAAGGGUGCAAGCGUUAAUCGGAAUUACUGGGCGUAAAGCGUGCGUAGGCGGUGAGUUAAGUCUGCUGUGAAAUCCCCGGGCUCAACCUGGGAAUGGCAGUGGAUACUGGCUCGCUAGAGUGUGUCAGAGGAUGGUGGAAUUCCCGGUGUAGCGGUGAAAUGCGUAGAGAUCGGGAGGAACAUUAGUGGCGAAGGCGGCCAUCUGGGACAACACUGACGCUGAGGCACGAAAGCGUGGGGAGCAAACAGGAUUAGAGACCCCCGUAGUCCCUGUCUCUUAUAC
rnacentral:rRNA from 1 species